CGGCGGACGGGUGAGUAACGCGUGGACAACCUGCCCUAUGCAGGGGGAUAACAUCCGGAAACGGGUGCUAAUACCGCAUAAGCGCACAGUACCGCAUGGUACGGUGUGAAAAGCUGAGGCGGCAUAGGAUGGGUCCGCGUUGGAUUAGGCAGUUGGCGGGGUAACGGCCCACCAAACCGACGAUCCAUAGCCGGCCUGAGAGGGUGGACGGCCACAUUGGGACUGAGACACGGCCCAGACUCCUACGGAAGGCAGCAG
rnacentral:rRNA from 1 species